rnacentral:lncRNA from 1 species
AAGCAGUAAAGAAUGGAUGUUGGAGAAGAAAGGGGGUUAUCUCUGGACUUCUGGGAAAACCAAAAAGAAGAUACCCAUAAUCCUCAACCUCCUAACUU